rnacentral:rRNA from 1 species
UCUUAAAAGAAUUAAGGUAGUAUUAUAUUAAAAACCCAUAUAACAUGGCGGUCGUAUAUUUUCAGAGGAACUCGCUWCUUAAUCGUCAACACCCGUUAAAUUUCACUUAAUACAAUAGCCUAUAUACCGCCGUUUCAGAUACUACUAAAUAGUAAAUAUCCAUAAACCUUUCGUUAANAAAUCAGGUCAAGGUGUAGCCNAUUAUUAAGCAGAAGUAAGUUACAUUAAAAAAGAUUUAAGGAAAAUAUCUCAAACAAAGAUAUUAGAAAGAGAAUCUGACUUCAAGUUUACAUUAAAAAUCUAAGCAUAAACAAAAUUAUACGACGC